rnacentral:lncRNA from 1 species
AACAUGCCGAUGACGAUGUUGAGGUACCCGUUGAAGCCGACCACCUUGCGGAGGAUGCGCGCGGCGGUGCCCUUAACGAUGAUCUGGAGCAUGUACACGAUGCAGAAGAGGCAAGAGCAGAGCGAGAUGAGGGAAACGACGGUGAGGAAGGUACCCGCGCCGUUGUCGGUCAUGUCCCAGUCAUCGAGGAGGAGGCCGCCCUUGAGGAGGCGCUUGUCGCAGAGGCCAGUCUUGACCUUGGAGCCACACACCUCGUAGCAGGUGCCGGCGGUGAGGGAGCCCGCGACGGUGCUGGUGAAGUUGGUGUCGUUGUCGAAGAACUUGGUGGAGGUGGAGCAGGCAGCGGGCUUGUCGUAGUGGAACUCGGCGGGGGUACCGGAGGCGGUGCCGACGAUGUACGCGGGCGCGCGCUUCUUGGCGAGGUAUCCCUUGGACAUCCAGUUGGACUCGUAGUUCUUGUGGACGUUGGAGCAGUCCGUAGAGGAGGUGCACACCUCCUCGGAGAUUUUCUUCAUGGCGUC